AACGAACGCUGGCGGCAGGCCUAACACAUGCAAGUCGAGCGAGGACUUCGGUCCUAGCGGCGGACGGGUGAGUAACGCGUGGGAACGUGCCCUUUGCUUCGGAAUAGCCCUGGGAAACUGGGAGUAAUACCGGAUGAGCCCUUUGGGGGAAAGAUUUAUCGGCGAAGGAUCGGCCCGCGUUGGAUUAGGUAGUUGGUGGGGUAAUGGCCUACCAAGCCGACGAUCCAUAGCUGGUUUGAGAGGAUGAUCAGCCACACUGGGACUGAGACACGGCCCAGACUCCUACGGGAGGCAGCAGUGGGUGAUCUUAGACAAUGGGGGAAACCCUGAUCUAGCCAUGCUGCGUGAGCGAUGAAGGCCUUAGAGUUGUAAAGCUCUUUCAGCUGGGAAGAUAAUGACGGUACCAACAGAAGAAGCCCCGGCUAACUCCGUG
rnacentral:rRNA from 1 species